GUAAGGAAUAUUGGUCAAUGGACGAGAGUCUGAACCAGCCAUGCCGCGUGAAGGACGAAGGUCCUCUGGAUUGUAAACUUCUUUUCCCCGGGGCGAAAAAAGCCUUUUCAAAGGCGCUUGACAGUACCGGGGGAAUAAGCACCGGCUAACUCCGUGCCAGCAGCCGCGGUAAUACGGAGGGUGCAAGCGUUAUCCGGAUUUACUGGGUUUAAAGGGUGCGCAGGCGGAAAUGUAAGUCAGUGGUGAAAUCCCGCAGCUUAACUGCGGAACUGCCAUUGAUACUAUGUUUCUUGAAUGUCGUCAAGGCCAGCGGAAUAGGACAUGUAGCGGUGAAAUGCAUAGAUAUGUCCUAGAACACCGAUUGCGAAGGCAGCUGGCUGGUCGAUGAUUGACGCUGAGGCACGAAAGCGUGGGUAGCGAACAGGAUUAGAAACCCUUGUAGUCC
rnacentral:rRNA from 1 species